UACAGGGGGCGCGAGCGUUGCUCGGAAUCACUGGGCGUAAAGCGUACGCAGGCGGGUCGAUAAGUUCGUUGUGAAAUCCCAGGGCUCAACCCUGGAACUGCGAUGAAGACUGUCGAUCUUGAGUACGGGAGAGGAGAGCGGAAUUCCUGGUGUAGAGGUGAAAUUCGUAGAUAUCAGGAGGAACACCGGUGGCGAAAGCGGCUCUCUGGCCCGAUACUGACGCUCAUGUACGAAAGCGUGGGGAGCAAACAGG
rnacentral:rRNA from 1 species